GAAGACACCAAAGAAGAACUCUGAUUGGUUUGAUUUGUAUCACACGAUCAGGAAUGCAGAGGUCUAUGAUUGGCCCAAUAGAAGCACAUUUUGUGUGUGUGUGUGUGUGUGUGUGUGUGCAUGCACUCGCGCAUUAGGGACAGGGGGAUCUUGAAGACCAGAUCCUCAGAAGAAAGAGAUUGGGAUUGAAAAAAAAGAAGAGGAGAUGUAGAUAGAUGAAACAAUAGAUGUCUUUUUUACCAUGUGACCAUGUGAAUUUAGGCAAGUUAUUCAAUCUUUCUGAACUUCAGUAAAAUUGAGAUAAUUUAAUCUCUUUCAUCGGUUAUUGUGAGGAUUAAGUAAACAAUGUGCACAAAGCAUUUUGCAUAUAGCAAAUACUCAGAUAAUAGUCGGGGAGCAUUAUUUGAGGUCGCAUCAUUUUUCCUAGAAUGUACACUCUGAGAGGGUAGGUUUUUUGCUAAUAUUUUACGCCACUUUUAGCAUCCUACGCAGCAUUUUUCUUACACAGCAUAAGUGAAUAUUUUUAGAAAAUUUUAAUAAAUAUUUCUAGCAAUAACAUCUUCACUGAGAUAGACUCUACUGUAAAUCUACUAUGCUUAUUACGUACUUACCAUUUAAUAGAUAAUGGAAAUCACACCCUAGGCCUCACAUGCCAUCAAAAAGUUCUAACAGAUUGAGUGUUUCUUUGAGCAGCAAGUAAGUGUGCAUGCCUGGGAAACCCCAGUUUUUCCUGCCUGUUCACAGACCAAAAAUAAAAAAGAGAGAGAGAAUUCUUUGAUCUAAGACAGAUUUGCAGAUAACCACUUACCUGGAACAUAUAUCAUUAGUUUACGUCUGGCUGGUGGAACUUUUUGUUUUCUUUGUCUGUGUUUUACUUUGGGGAGAAACAACCAUUAGUGGCCAGCCAUUGUUUUAUAUUUACAUGCAAAAAAAGAGACAGAGAAAGGUUUCGAACUGAGGCCCCAGGUCCUGGGGACUAGAAUAUGCUUUAUCUCUAGUAUUCCUAUCCAAGUUCCUGAAGCUGUCUGGGUGAGGCAGCCUGGGCCCUGUGCACGGGGCCUUGCUUUGCCUGUUUUUUCCAUUCUCUGCUCUAGACUCCUCCCUAUCUUAUCUCUUGCUAAAUCAGGGUAGUUCCUACAGUUAAUUUGCCCAACUCACUUUGCAUAAUUUUUCCUCUGAGUUACCCCAGAAAGCUCUAACCAGGUUCACUGAUUCCCACUCCAAUCCUAGCCUCCCUCAAUUAUAUUUCUGGGCAGCAGCAUUCAGUCAAGCAGUUUGGUUUGUUUCAAUUUGUGCCCAUCUUCUCCACUGAGCAGUCCUGGUACUCUCGCCUCCCUAUGGAACCACAGGGCCCUGCUUGCCCAGUGUGGCAUUCAUUCCCAGCAGCUCCAUCUGGAUCCAGUGGCCAGCUCCUUCUACCAAGUAGAGCUGAUUGGGCAGCAGACAAUGGCAAGGAAAACUGAAGAAUGUCACUGGCCACAGGCCCGCUGAGAGUGAGACUCCUGUGCUCCCACUGUGUCAUUUGUGAUUUCCCUUUCUUGUGUCUUCUAUGCCAGCAUGGAUUCAAACCUUUGGUUUUGUCUGGAAGUGUCCAGGUGAAUAAUUGUUAUUCUUAAAAUAUUCUUCGAUGUAUGUGCAGAACUUCUGAAUUCCAUUAUAUGGAGAAAUAAAAGCAUC
rnacentral:lncRNA from 1 species